GGGGUGGAGCUCGGCGUGGAUGCCCGGUCUGGCCCUGGCCUCGUGGGCCUCAGAAGUGACAAGAAUGCGAUGACUAGUGACAUGCGAUGAGGGCUGGGGUCGCCCAGAGUGCUGGGCCACGAAGUAGCGACCUCCGGGCAGGUGUGGGGCCCCUGGCGAGCCCCGGAGGCCGGCAGCCAGAUCCACAGCGACACCAGGGCCCUGCGGGCCGGGACAGCACCCACCUCCUCCUGCUCUGUGCUCCGAGCUCCUGCAGCUGCGGGCACCUGGCCCGUCACUCAGGGAGGUGCAGGCCCCAGCUUGUCCCCACCAGGUGCCAGGGCAUCCCUGCUGGGGGCCAGGCCUG
rnacentral:lncRNA from 1 species